rnacentral:rRNA from 1 species
GUAGGUGGCAAGCGUUGUCCGGAAUUAUUGGGCGUAAAGCGCGCGCAGGCGGUUCUUUAAGUCUGAUGUGAAAGCCCACGGCUCAACCGUGGAGGGUCAUUGGAAACUGGAGAACUUGAGUACAGAAGAGGAAAGCGGAAUUCCACGUGUAGCGGUGAGAUGCGUAGAGAUGUGGAGGAACACCAGUGGCGAAGGCGGCUUUCUGGCCUGUAACUGACGCUGAGGCGCGAAAGCGUGGGGAGCAAACAGGAUUAGAUACCCUGGUAGUCCACGCCGUAAACGAUGAGUGCUAAGUGUUAGGGGGGUUUCCGCCCCCCUUAGUGCUGCAGCUAACGCAUUAAGCACUCCGCCUGGGAGUACGGCCGCAAGGCUA